rnacentral:rRNA from 1 species
GGCCGCCGGGGGCUCUCAGCCCCGGGCCCGCGCCCGCCGGAGACACCACGAACUCUGUCUGAUCUAGUGAAGUCUGAGUUGAUUGUAUCGCAAUCAGUUAAAACUUUCAACAAUGGAUCUCUUGGUUCCGGCAUCGAUGAAGAACGCAGCGAAAUGCGAUAACUAGUGUGAAUUGCAGAAUUCCGUGAAUCAUCGAGUCUUUGAACGCACAUUGCGCCCCCUGGUAUUCCGGGGGGCAUGCCUGUCCGAGCGUCAUUGCUGCCCAUCAAGCACGGCUUGUGUGUUGGGUCGUCGUCCCCUCUCCGGGGGGGACGGGCCCCAAAGGCAGCGGCGGCACCGCGUCCGAUCCUCGAGCGUAUGGGGCUUUGUCACCCGCUCUGUAGGCCCGGCCGGCGCUUGCCGAACGCAAAUCAAUCUUUUUCCAGGUUGACCUCGGAUCAGGUAGGGAUACCCGCUGAACUUAAGC